ACUCCGGCAGGGGGCAAAUGUAGAUAGCUGGAGCUGUUUCCGGUCAUCCUAACCGGAAAAUUCAUUUUUCCGACGCUAAUUGUUUAACUAGGAAGUAGCAUUUUCUAAAUCCCAGCUACAACUUUGCUCUGCACUGUUAAAAAGAAAUUCGCUAAUUUUAGUAUUGAUCAAUUAAAUAGAUAAAUGUUCGAAGACUUAUAUGUAUACUUCCGUCAGUGAACUCCGCAGUUAUAGAAUUUGUAUACUUUGAAGUUGUGUAUUAUUAUAGAUGGAAUAAUUCUGUGAGCCUGUAUUAUAAAUAUAGUGUAUUGUAAGCAGGAAAAUUCGUAAAUGUUUAA